rnacentral:ncRNA from 1 species
GGGUGGUGGUGCAUGGCCGUUCUUAGUUGGUGGAGUGAUUUGUCUGGUUUAUUCCGUUAACGAACGAGACCUUAACCUGCUAAAUAGUUGCGCGAAACUUUAUGUUUCGUCGCUACUUCUUAGAGGGACUUUGUGUGUUUAACACAAGGAAGCUUGAGGCAAUAACAGGUCUGUGAUGCCCUUAGAUGUUCUGGGCUGCACGCGCGCUACACUGACACGAUCAACAAGUAUUUCCUUGCCCGGUAGGGUUAGGGUAAUCUUUUGAAAUCGUGUCGUGCUAGGGAUAGACGAUUGCAAUUAUUCGUCUUCAACGAGGAAUUCCUAGUAAAUGCAAGUCAUCAGCUUGCGUUGAUUACGUCCCUGCCCUUUGUACACACCGCCCGUCGCUCCUACCGAUUGAGUGAUCCGGUGAGCUGUCCGGACUGCGAUUAGUUCAGUUUCUGUUCUCUUCGCGGGAAGUUCUGCAAACCUUAUCACUUAGAGGAAGGAGAAGUCGUAACAAGGUUUCCGUAGGUGAACCUGCGGAAGGAUCAUUC